AUAGCAUUAAUUAUUAGUAAA
rnacentral:snRNA from 1 species